rnacentral:rRNA from 1 species
GACGAACGCUGGCGGCGUGCCUAAUACAUGCAAGUCGAGCGGACAGAUAAGGAGCUUGCUCCUUUGAAGUUAGCGGCGGACGGGUGAGUAACACGUGGGCAACCUGCCCUGUAGAUUGGGAUAACUCCGGGAAACCGGGGCUAAUACCGAAUAGUACUUUUUAACUCAUGUUAGAAAGUUGAAAGAUGGUUCUGCUAUCACUACAGGAUGGGCCCGCGGCGCAUUAGCUAGUUGGUGAGGUAACGGCUCACCAAGGCGACGAUGCGUAGCCGACCUGAGAGGGUGAUCGGCCACACUGGGACUGAGACACGGCCCAGACUCCUACGGGAGGCAGCAGUAGGGAAUCUUCCACAAUGGGCGAAAGCCUGAUGGAGCAACGCCGCGUGAGUGAAGAAGGAUUUCGGUUCGUAAAACUCUGUUGUAAGGGAAGAACAAGUAGCGUAGUAACUGGCGCUACCUUGACGGUACCUAACCAGAAAGCCACGGCUAACUACGUGCCAGCCGCCGCCGUAACAC